UACGUAGGUGGCAAGCGUUGUCCGGAUUUAUUGGGUUUAAAGGGUGCGUAGGCGGUUUCUUAAGUCAGUGGUGAAAUACGGCAGCUCAACUGUCUAGGUGCCAUUGAUACUGGGAAACUUGAGUACUGAUGAGGUAGGCGGAAUGGACGGUGUAGCGGUGAAAUGCUUAGAUAUGACAUAGAACACCAAUUGCGAAGGCAGCUUACUACACAGUGAUUGACACUGAGGCACGAAAGCGUGGGGAUCAAACAGG
rnacentral:rRNA from 1 species